rnacentral:rRNA from 1 species
GACGAACGCUGGCGGCAUGCCUAACACAUGCAAGUCGAACGGAGAUUAUUUCGGUAAUCUUAGUGGCGAACGGGUGAGUAACGCGUGGGCAACCUGCCCUCUAGAUGGGGACAACAUCCCGAAAGGGGUGCUAAUACCGAAUGUGACAGCAAUCUCGCAUGAGGAUGCUGUGAAAGAUGGCCUCUAUUUAUAAGCUAUCGCUAGAGGAUGGGCCUGCGUCUGAUUAGCUAGUUGGUGGGGUAACGGCCUACCAAGGCGAUGAUCAGUAGCCGGUCUGAGAGUGUGAACGGCCACAUUGGGACUGCGACACGGCCCAGACUCCUACGGGAGGCAGCAGUAGGGAAUCUUCCGCAAUGGGCGAAAGCCUGACGGAGCAAUGCCGCGUGAGUGAUGAAGGAAUUCGUUCCGUAAAGCUCUUUUGUUUAUGACGAAUGUGCAGAUUGUGAACAAUGAUCUGUAAUGACGGUAGUAAACGAAUAAGCCACGGCUAACUACGUG